rnacentral:piRNA from 1 species
UACCAUAGCCUUCUGCCUCCUACAGGUC